GAUGGAACUCCCUCUUCGACCGUCUCUUCGGCGGCCGCCCGCGCCGGCGCCGGCGCCCAGCUCUCCCGCUCCCUGUCCACAGUUCCGUCGAUCUUUCUCUCCGUACUUACAGGGAUAUUUACAACAAGCCCAUUGGCUGUGUCAUCUUGGAGGAAAUUAUGCAACACACGCUGUCCUAUAUGCGUAGCAUUGAUGAAAAUUUGGAGUAUUGGCGGUCCAAGAAUCGUUGGGGUUCAUCAUAUUCACAGACGAUAUAUUUCAUGAUAUUUGAAAGAGGUCCAACUACUUUCGUUGAAGCAACAUGCCCACGUCUGACUAGACUUGGGAACAACGGAGGUCCAUCGCAGAGC